UGAUGGCCAUGGGGUCUCCUUAUCUAUGGGGUCUCCUUAUCUAUGGGGUCUCCGUAUCUAUGGGGUCCCUCUAUCUAUGGGGCUGGUGGUUUUGGGGUCUCCAUAUCUAUGGGGCUGGUGGUGGCUAUAGGGUCCUUAGGGUGAAUUUAGGGUCAUUUUAAGGUAUAGGGAUGGUCUCUAUGGGGUCUCUAUGGGGAUUCUAUGGGGUCUCUAUGGGGUCUCUAUUGGGUUUCUAUGGGGUCUCCUAUAGAGAUGGUCUCUAUGGGGUCUCUAUUGGGUUUCUAUGGGGUCCCUAUGGGGUCUCCUAUAGAGAUGGUCUCUAUGGGGUCUCCUAUAGAGAUGGUUUCUAUGGGGUCUCUAUUGGGUUUCUAUGGGGUCUCUAUUGGGUUUCUAUGGGGUCUCUAUUGGGUUUCUAUGGGGUCUCUAUGGGGUCUCUAUGGGGUCUCUAUGGGGUCUCUAUUGGGUUUCUAUGGGGUCUCUAUGGGGUCUCUAU
rnacentral:lncRNA from 1 species